AGUGAACGCUGGCGGUAGGCCUAACACAUGCAAGUCGAACGGCAGCACAGUAAGAGCUUGCUCUUACGGGUGGCGAGUGGCGGACGGGUGAGGAAUACAUCGGAAUCUACUUUUUCGUGGGGGAUAACGUAGGGAAACUUACGCUAAUACCGCAUACGACCUACGGGUGAAAGCAGGGGAUCUUCGGACCUUGCGCGAUUGAAUGAGCCGAUGUCGGAUUAGCUAGUUGGCGGGGCAAAGGCCCACCAAGGCGACGAUCCGUAGCUGGUCUGAGAGGAUGAUCAGCCACACUGGAACUGAGACACGGUCCAGACUCCUACGGGAGGCAGCAGUGGGGAAUAUUGGACAAUGGGCGCAAGCCUGAUCCAGCCAUACCGCGUGGGCGAAGAAGGCCUUCGGGUUGUAAAGCCCUUUUGUUGGGAAAGAAAAGCAGCAGGUUAAUACCCCGCUGUUCUGACGGUACCCAAAGAAUAAGCACCGGCUAACUUCGUG
rnacentral:rRNA from 1 species